rnacentral:hammerhead_ribozyme from 1 species
AUCCAGAUGACGAGUCUUAAAUAGGACAAAAUGUGCAUCCUGAAU